AUGCAUUCAGAAGAUGAUGAAGAGCUUACUACACAUGCUGAAUUCUUCAUCAACAAAUUGAAAGAGACAUGGAACCAUCACUACGAAAACUCAAGGGUCCAGAUCAGUCAUUUUCCAAUCGAGUAUGUCGGGACUACGAAGCAAGGAAACAUGCAUGAUUGUGGCUUUCACAUGUUGGAAUACCUUGCGAAGUGGGAAGGUCGACCGGUCCCUGUCGUCACAGCUGCAAAGCUGCAAUGGUCGUCGAGCUCCGUAAAAUAUACACAUGGAACUGGUUAA
rnacentral:rRNA from 1 species